rnacentral:rRNA from 1 species
UACGAAGGGGGGCUAGCGUUGCUCGGAAUCACUGGGCGUAAAGCGCACGUAGGCGGCUUUUUUAAGUCAGGGGUGAAAUCCUGGAGCUCAACUCCAGAACUGCCUUUGAUACUGAGAAGCUUGAGUCCGGGAGAGGUGAGUGGAACUGCGAGUGUAGAGGUGAAAUUCGUAGAUAUUCGCAAGAACACCAGUGGCGAAGGCGGCUCACUGGCCCGGUACUGACGCUGAGGUGCGAAAGCGUGGGAGCAAACAGG